rnacentral:lncRNA from 1 species
GAAGAAGAGCGGGCGACAAAGGUGCGGGAUGGCAUGGAUUCUGCAACUCUCCCCAGCCUCCACUGCGUUUCGAAGCGACGCCCUUGACUGAGGAGUGUUUUUAAUAAUCAUCUGGCCGACUUGGAAGCUGGAGGCCGAAGGCAUAGCUGUCAAUUUUCUUGCGUUCCUUCUGCUUCCUCGGGGCAGAGAUGGUGAAAUCUACUUGUUAGGACAGUUGCAAACCCGAUUGCAGUCUGGGCUCUGGAUGCUGAAAUUAUCCUGUGAUGAUUCAUCAUCUUUAACAGAAAGCCGAGGUUACAGAGCCCAGAGUGAUUUUUGACGUUCCACAAUAUUCCACGAACAUUUUCUGAUUGCUCACUAUAUGCAUAGAUUGACUGAGUCUCUGGGGGAAAGAUGUAGAAGACAGGAGUUCUAAACCCUAGGAAGUGCAUCACCGGUAGUGGCGCCGGCUGUAGUCCCAGCUACUUGGGAGGAAACCAGAUCCUUAAGUCAUUUCUCUCUGCCUCUCUCUCUCUCUCUCUCUCUCUCUCUCUCUCUCUCUGUGUGUGUGUGUGUGUGUGUGUGUGUUGGAGGGGAAAUGGUCUUCCAAGUGAGGGAACAUUUUUUAAUUGCAUGUUUGGGUAGGGGUGGGUGUUGGGGAUGGUACAGCCAGAAUGGUGGAUGGUGGUACGUCCUGAAUGGUGGCACAGAAUCCAUUGACUAUGGGUACAUGAAACUUACAAAUCUGUAUACUAAGGAAUAAGAGUUUCAAGGUAUGCAAUGUUUGUACCUCCAAUAAUUUAAAUUGUCUCUGAGGUUUGUUUACCACAUUUUAGGGGGAAAACUGUAAUAAAGUAUGGGUCAACAUUUUGAGUCAUAAUUACUGAAAAAAGAAGCCACAUUACUAGAAUCUCUAUAGGAAAUUAAAAGCAGGAGAUAGCACUACUUGGAGGUCCAGUAACCUUUGCCUUGGUGGCCAAAGAUAGAGCAUAUUUGUCCUAUUUUAUCAUGGGCAGAAAUCAUAACUAGAUUAUGUCAACAGCAGGAGAGUUCUCAGAAAAUGGCAAGGGCAAAAGAUGAAAGAAGAUGAUGGUAAUGGCAGCUUUCACAGGCAGUUUUCUCUGGCUGGUGACAGAAGGAGAAGUCAGAAUGGAAGCAAUUUUUUUUUUUUUUUGGCCAGCUUUGAAGAUGGAAGGGGCCAUGUGACAAGGAAUUCUGUGGCCUCUGGAAGAAGAAAGUGGCCUCUGGCUGACCACCAGCAAGGAAAUGGAGUCCUUAGACCUUGAGCAGCAAAGGACUGGAUUUUUGGCAGCAACUUGAAUGGGCUUGAAAGCAGAUUCUUCUGCAGAGCUUCCAGAGAAGAGCACAGUCUGG